CGCCGCCGCGCUCCUCCUCCUCCUCCGGCGCCCCGCGGCCCGCCGCCUCCUCCAUCCGCCGCCCCGCGCCCCUCGCCGCGCCGCCGCCCUCUGCGCCCCGCGGCGCCCCCCGGUCCCGCCCGCCAUGCCCGGCCCGGCCGCGGGCAGCAGGGCCCGGGUCUACGCCGAGGUGAACAGCCUGAGGAGCCGCGAGUACUGGGACUAUGAGGCUCACGUUCCGAGCUGGGGUAAUCAAGAUGAUUACCAGCUGGUUCGAAAACUUGGUCGGGGAAAGUAUAGUGAAGUAUUUGAGGCCAUUAACAUCACCAACAAUGAGAGAGUGGUUGUAAAAAUUCUCAAGCAGAUGGACAGGUUAGCAAGUAGCAGAGGUUUCCAGUCAGUACUGGAUCAGAGAUCCGUUUUCUCCUUUGCUGAUCCAUCAUCUCUUUCUUUAGGAGUGCCAGUGAAGAAAAAGAAGAUAAAACGAGAGGUUAAGAUUCUGGAGAACCUUCGUGGUGGAACAAAUAUCAUUAAGCUGAUCGACACUGUGAAGGACCCUGUGUCAAAGACCCCAGCUUUGGUAUUUGAAUAUAUCAAUAAUACAGAUUUUAAGCAACUUUACCAGAUCCUGACAGAUUUUGAUAUCCGGUUUUAUAUGUAUGAGCUACUUAAGGCUCUGGAUUACUGCCACAGCAAGGGAAUCAUGCACAGGGAUGUGAAACCUCACAAUGUCAUGAUAGAUCACCAGCAGAAGAAGCUGCGACUGAUAGACUGGGGUCUGGCAGAGUUCUACCAUCCUGCUCAGGAGUACAAUGUCCGUGUAGCCUCGAGGUACUUCAAGGGCCCAGAGCUCCUUGUGGACUAUCAGAUGUAUGAUUACAGCUUGGACAUGUGGAGUUUGGGCUGUAUGUUAGCAAGCAUGAUCUUUCGAAAGGAGCCCUUCUUUCAUGGACAGGACAAUUACGACCAGCUUGUUCGCAUUGCCAAGGUUCUGGGUACAGAUGAGCUGUAUGGGUAUCUGAAGAAGUAUCACAUAGACCUAGAUCCACACUUCAACGAUAUCCUGGGACAACAUUCACGGAAACGCUGGGAAAACUUUAUCCAUAGUGAGAACAGACACCUCGUCAGCCCCGAGGCUCUAGAUCUUCUGGACAAACUUCUGCGAUACGACCAUCAACAGAGACUGACUGCCAAAGAGGCCAUGGAGCACCCGUACUUCUACCCCGUGGUGAAGGAGCAGUCCCAGCCCUCUGCAGACAAUGCUGUGCUUUCCAGUGGCCUCACAGCAGCCCGGUGAACACUUGGAAGGCGACGGGUCUGUUGCGGUUCCUCCCACUUUUCCAUAAGCAGAACAAGAACCAAAUCAAACGUCUUAACGUGUGUAGAGAGAUCACGUUCCGUGAGCAGACACAAAAUGGUGGCAGGUUUGGCCAGCACGAACCAGACCAACCGAAGGGCAGCCCACCACCGUAUAUCAAACCUCACUUCUGAAUGUAAAAGGUUCACACGCCUUUGGCUUCCUGUUGACUUCCUCCUGACCCAGAAAGCAUGGGAAAUGUGAAGGGUGACUGUGGGAACCCAGGUGUGGACACUCACAGUUUCUGAAGCAGUUGUGGGGGGAAAGCAAAGAGGCCCCUCGGGGUCACCACGGCGUCAGUGUCCCUUGGAGCAGCCUCUGUCGUCUCCAAGCAGUUCCACGGGUGUGGGAGCCCGGGACGCCAGCGAGGAGGGCCCACAGGCCCACUGCCAGCAGACUUUGUAAGGCCAGCAGGACGCCGAGCGGAUGGACUUGGGACUUUUCCAGCAGCAUCGCGGGCCUGGUUUUCUCACGCGGCCCUUUUGACUCAAGUCUCUGCAAAUUUCUCGUGGCCUCCCAGGACUCUGGGAGACGGUGUCUCCAUACCUCGACAUCAUGAGCACACCCCCGGAGCUCCUGCAGACCUGGUGCUUUGUGUGUGCGUUUAUCUACACAGCACAUCACCUCCGUGUUUACCUGCCAGCGUUUGAGAGCCUUCCUGGAUGAGAAGGGUCUCUUCAGAGUAGAUGUUGUUGAUGGACUUGGGAAUUCUUAGAUGCCAUGCAGAACUUGAAUGCUAGCUCCCCAUUUACCUUCUCAACCAAGGUGCUCUUUAACUUCCCCGUGGGAAAGUCUGGUUUUCCAGAAACCUCUCAGGCGUAUCAGAUAAGUGUCUUUUUUGUCGGUGAUUACUACUGGGUGGGAGAGAGUUUGUGGAAUGAAGGGAAAGGAGACGUUUUUGCUUAGGCUUUUUUGACCUUGAGAGAAGGGGACAAGGGACCUGCUUACCCAAAAACAGUCUAUAAAGCUCAUCCACAACGUGCUUGGAAAUCCAGAACAUCGAUUGACAUCUUUUCAAUGCUCCUGCUUGAGUUUGGGCUGUUUAAUGUUUGUUUAACUUUCCUGACCACCAAAGUAAUAAUACGCUCAUGGCAAAAAAUUCAAAUGUUACCUAAAGGUCAAUCAUGAAACCUUCCCCCACCGCACCCGCACCCCCCCAUCCCAUCACAUACACACACAUACGAAAACUCUUUCCUCUGGAGGUAGCUGUGGUUACAUCUGGCGUAUACCUUGCGAUUUUUUUCCUUCAUGUUUACUAACAGUUAAAAAAUCAUGAUGAUUUUUAUUUUUACAGAUAUGUCACCAGGCUAUACAUUCUUUUUUUGCAACUUGUGCUUUUCCUGAGUUGUGACAAUUUCACUGUUAGCACGUAUAGAUCUACCUCACCCGUUCUCGCGGCUGGGUGGUGUCCCGGUGUGUGACCUACCAAAGGCAAAGCAGUCUGAUGAUAGACUCUCAGCAGAGCUAGUCCCAGUACUGCUGCAGUGAACACAUUUGCACAUACAUUUUUACGCAGUACAUUGUGUUUGUGAGAUAAAAUCCUAAAAAGGAAUUACUGUGCCAUAUGUUUUGUUUUGUCUUAGGCAUUGCCAUGAUUCAGAGAAAGCAGCCUUCUCUUUCCUUCCCUCCCUGGUGUAGGUUGGAACCGUGAUGCCUUUAGCCAUGGAAUUCUUGUGGGGCUCUGUUAGGCGCUUGGGACACGGUGCCCAGAGUCGUUGAGCUUUCCAUCAAAGCAGGAAUGUUUGAAA